CCAACAUAGAUACCCAGGGAGGUCACUCUCCCUAGGCUCCGUCCAAGUGGCACACGGGAGCAUAGGGCUCUGCCCCCUGAUUUACGGUCCCUUUCCACAAUAUUGGGGAAGCUGGGCCUUGAGUCUGCGCCUGCAAGUUCCUACGACUUCUCAGAGUCCUGUGGACAAUGACUGAGGAGACAAACCAUGCAGGAAACCCUG
rnacentral:snoRNA from 1 species